CCUACGGGAGGCAGCAGUAGGGAAUCUUCCGCAAUGGACGAAAGUCUGACGGAGCAACGCCGCGUGAACGAUGAAGGCCUUCGGGUCGUAAAGUUCUGUUGUUAGGGAAGAACAAGUGCUAGUUAAAUAAGCUGGCACCUUGACGGUACCUAACCAGAAAGCCACGGCUAACUACGUGCCAGCAGCCGCGGUAAUACGUAGGUGGCAAGCGUUGUCCGGAAUUAUUGGGCGUAAAGCGCGCGCAGGCGGUUUCUUAAGUCUGAUGUGAAAGCCCCCGGCUCAACCGGGGAGGGUCAUUGGAAACUGGGAAACUUGAGUGCAGAAGAGGAAAGUGGAAUUCCAAGUGUAGCGGUGAAAUGCGUAGAGAUUUGGAGGAACACCAGUGGCGAAGGCGACUUUCUGGUCUGUAACUGACGCUGAGGCGCGAAAGCGUGGGGAGCAAACAGGAUUAGAUACCCUGGUAGUCCACGCUGUAAACGAUGAGUGCUAAGUGUUAGAGGGUUUCCGCCCUUUAGUGCUGAAGUUAACGCAUUAAGCACUCCGCCUGGGGAGUACGGUCGCAAGACUGAAACUUAAGGAAUUGACGG
rnacentral:rRNA from 1 species